GAUGAACGCUGGCGGCGUGCCUAAUACAUGCAAGUCGAGCGAAGCGGGGACGGGUGAGUAACACGUGGGUAACCUCCUAUAAGACGGGGGUAAACUCGGGAAACCGGAGCUAAACCGGAUACUUAGAGAUGGAUCCGCGCUGCAUUAGCUAGUUGGUGAGGUAACGGCUUACCAAGGCAACGAUGCAUAGCCGAUCUGAGAGGGUGAUCAGCCACACUGGAACUGAGACACGGUCCAGACUCCUACGGGAGGCAGCAGUAGGGAAUCUUCCGCAAUGGGCGAAAGCCUGACGGAGCAACGCCGCGUGAGUGAUGAAGGUCUUCGGAUUGUAAAACUCUGUUAUUAGGGAGGCGGUACCUAAUGAGAAAGCCACGGCUAACUCCGUGCCAGCAGCCGCGGUAAUAC
rnacentral:rRNA from 1 species